UUUUUUUUUUUUUUUUUUUUUUUUUUUUUUUUUUUUUUUUUCCUCAACUGUGAUUCUAAAGCUAUUACUUAACUUGGGGCCCACAUCCACCCUAUGGUAAGAUUCUAUAGCACACAACAUCUAAAGAUCUCAGAAAACUCUUUCUAGACAAUCCCAUGCUCAAGCUUGGCUCUUGCCUUUAAUUAUGUUGCUCUUCCUUCUUGCCAUCUCUAAACCCUACGUAUGAAUCUUGGGCUCUGGUGGAGCCUCACAUUCUGCUGCUCAAUGGGCUUGGGUAGAAGCCAGAGGGAAUCAAUCUAGAAGAACGUGCUGCCAGAAGAGGUACAGGUAGUGGAGACAUCCACUAACCACAGGGCCUGGCAAAUUCUGGUCAUCAGCCUAGUGUAGUAAUUGUGCCUGAUGAAAAAUGU
rnacentral:lncRNA from 1 species